rnacentral:lncRNA from 1 species
UGGAAUAUACCGCAAUGUCCAAUUCCCACUUGUCACUACCAAUAUCCAUAUAAUCCACACAAUACAAUUCAAAAUAUGUGGCUUUCUGAAAUUUACGUGACAAAGGUACUAUCAAAUUAUCAACGUCAUUUAAAUCUAGUGGCCAUAAAAAAAAUGUAUUCCCUUCGGUCCUAUUUAUAAGGAACACUUAGGGCAAAAAAUUUGGUCCUUUUUAUAAGAAACUUUGACCAAUUUUCAAAUGUUUUAAAUGUUCAAUUUCACUUAUGCCUUUAUUUAUUAUGAGAGAGAAUUUAAAAAUAAGUAAAUUAGUUGAAUAAAGAGUAAUUAAAUAAGGGUAUAUAUGGAAUAAAUUUAAUUUUAUAAGAGUAUUAAAUGAAAAUAAUUAUGUUAAAUAGAAUUCCUUAGUCUGUGUGAUUUUUUCAAAUUGUUCCUUAUAAAAAGGACCGGAGGGAGUACUACUUAAAAAAAAUGUACUAUACUUUCAUAAAAAAAUGCUAUCACCAAUAUUUAAAUUUUGUUUGUAACUAAAGUUCAGCUCUGUUCAUGACAAAGCCUUAUUGAAGGGAAAUGAAGCCCAAUACUCAGGCUUUCGCCACAGGCCCGCCGCACGUGACUUGUUUUCACCGCGCAACUGUCUCACGUGCCGCGCUUUCUGAGACUCAUCUUCCUCCGCCGAACAAAAAACUCCAACAAUUCCGGACCACCAAACGCCGCCGUGUCAACCUNNN